rnacentral:misc_RNA from 1 species
GGAGAAGUACUAGUUACCUGAGUCUCAGAGGAAACCAUAUUUUGGGUAUAUCAUCAUCUUCAUCCUCUUCAAGCUUGAGAUGAAUAUUAUGAAUUAAGCUGAUGAAUACUUACAGGAAGAUGGAGGGUGCAUUUAUAGUAGAGCCAAGACAAGACGAAACCAAGGGCAUGUGGUAUAAAAGUAAAUAAUGGUGGUCGAGGAAUUGAAGCUGAAGCUAGCAACCAGUCAGAGGUAAAAAUGCCUCAACCCCCAAAAUCUACUCACUCUGUAUAGCUAGGUUUCAAUCAUCAGCCAGCUUUGCUAUUUUUUUGCUAAUCU